rnacentral:rRNA from 1 species
UACAGAGGUGGCAAGCGUUGUUCGGAAUUACUGGGCGUAAAGCGUGCGUAGGUGGUUCGUUAAGUCUGAUGUGAAAGCCCUGGGCUCAACCUGGGAAUGGCAUUGGAAACUGGCGAUCUAGAGUGCGGUAGAGGGCAGUGGAAUUCCCGGUGUAGCAGUGAAAUGCGUAGAGAUCGGGAGGAACAUCUGUGGCGAAGGCGACUGCCUGGACCAGCACUGACACUGAGGCACGAAAGCGUGGGGAGCGAACAGG